GAAAUGCGAUAAGUAGUGUGAAUUGCAGAAUUCAGUGAAUCAUCGAAUCUUUGAACGCACAUUGCGCCCCUUGGUAUUCCAUGGGGCAUGCCUGUUCGAGCGUCAUUUGUACCUUCAAGCCCUGCUUGGUGUUGGGUGCCUGUCCCGCCUCCGCGCGCGGACUCACCUCAAAUCCAUUGGCGGCCCCCGCGUCGGCCACGAGCGCAGCAGAAACGCGAACUCGUGAGCCCGUCCGGGCGGCUCCCAGAAGCUACACCCACCCAGUUUGACCUCGGAUCAGGUAGGGAUACCCGCUGAACUUAAGC
rnacentral:misc_RNA from 1 species